rnacentral:rRNA from 1 species
UACGUAGGGGGCUAGCGUUGUCCGGAUUUAUUGGGCGUAAAGGGCGCGUAGGCGGCCACGCACGUCCGUUGUGAAAUCGCCCGGCUCAACUGGGCGGGGUCGGCGGAUACGGCGUGGCUGGAGCAAGCUAGGGGGCAAUGGAAUUCCCGGUGUAGUGGUGGAAUGCGUAGAUAUCGGGAGGAACACCUGUGGCGAAAGCGGCGCACUGGACCACAUCUGACGCUGAGGCGCGAAAGCUAGGGGAGCAAACAGG